UACGUAGGUCCCGAGCGUUGUCCGGAUUUAUUGGGCGUAAAGCGAGCGCAGGUGGUUUAUUAAGUCUGGUGUAAAAGGCAGUGGCUCAACCAUUGUAUGCAUUGGAAACUGGUAGACUUAAGUGCAGGAGAGGAGAGUGGAAUUCCAUGUGUAGCGGUGAAAUGCGUAGAUAUAUGGAGGAACACCGGUGGCGAAAGCGGCUCUCUGGCCUGUAACUGACACUGAGGCUCGAAAGCGUGGGGAGCAAACAGG
rnacentral:rRNA from 1 species